UUUCCUUCCCGAAGCCUCGAACCCUAGCCUGGGUCACUUGAGGCCGGCUCCUGGGCAACCUUAAUGCACACUUGGUACAGCUGAACUUGUCUUGCUGCGAAUUGGCAGCUUUCCGAAGGCCCGGGCCUAAAGAGUAGGGGAGUGUAACGUCUACUACUCUGGUUUGCGUGAAGAGUUGUGAAAGAAUCACUUCGUUCGACCUACCACGUUCUAAGCUCUGAGAGUACAGCGGCAAUGAGAUCGACAGGGUUCUUGCUUUCACGGAAGGCUCACAGGACACCUGCACAACAAAGGCUGUCCACCGUAUGUAAUCAACCUGGACCCAGCUGUGCAUGAAGUCCCCUUUCCCGCCAAUAUUGAUAUCCGAGACACA
rnacentral:lncRNA from 1 species